rnacentral:misc_RNA from 1 species
GAAAUUUGCUAUGGUUUCCUGGAUCACAAAAUUAUUUAUGCUCAGGAUAUGUUUACCUCCAUCUAAUAUUUUUUUCCACAUUAGGGAGACACAACACAACAUGCACAAGGUGUUUGUGGAGGUGAUUUUGAUUUUCUCCUCCUAAUUUAAUAUGGAUAAAGUGUACUGCCUUGUGCAGCUACAACUAUUACAAUUAGUGAUGUUGACGAGUGCAGCUGAAUUGGUGGAACAUUCUGUGAAUACAUACUUCAGGAACAACUUUGUUCUGAAGAAUAAUGCUAUGAUCAACAUUAUAUGACCCAUUUAGAGUCUAAUGAUUGAGUUAUCAUUAGUGUUGCCAAAUAAAAGAUUUUGUAGCAUAACGACUGGAUGGCUGGCAUUAAUUUUGGAAAUUUUGUAUUAUCUGUAAGUAUUUUCCUUUGGAAUUCCAGAUUCAUUUAAAUUUAAGUUCUAAUUUGUAUACAUGCAGCUGAGUUUUUUCCUGAUAGAUC